GUCCUACAAGCUUUUCGGGCCCAACGAGAUAUCCAAACCUCAAGGAGGGGCGCCAACUCCAUUACAUGGAUUAAAGUGGCGUGUCCUCAACAACGUAAUCAAAUAGAUUGCGGGUAUUUCAUGUUGAGGUUUAUGCGAGAUACUCUUGUUUUGGGCCGAUUAAAGAUUCCCACCGAUUACUUUGAUGAAUUCAAGUGUGCAUUUUAUACAAAGGAUCAAGUGGACGAAAUCAAAGAGGAGUGGUGUCAAUUCAUGAUAAAGCU